rnacentral:rRNA from 1 species
ACACGGUUUGGCGGCGUGCUUAAUACAUGCAAGUCAACUGAAGCACCGGUAGUAAUACUGGUGUGGAGGUGGCGCACGGGUGAGUAACACGUAGGUAAUCUGCCUUCAGGUCUGACAUAACCCCGAGAAAUCGGGGCUAAUAGCAGAUGAUGCAGCGGCUUGACAUCAAGACAGUUGUUAAAGCUUCGGCGCCUGAAGAUGAGCCUGCGUCUGAUUAGCUAGUUGGCGGAGUAAUGGCCCACCAAGGCUACGAUCAGUAACUGGUCUGAGAGGAUGAUCAGUCACACUGGAACUGAGACACGGUCCAGACUCCUACGGGAGGCAGCAGUAAGGAAUAUUGCUCAAUGGGAGAAAUCCUGAAGCAGCAACGCCGCGUGAGGGAUGAAGGGCCUUUGCUCGUAAACCUCUGUAGUGAGGGAAAAAAUUUCCACUCUGUGGAAUAUGAUGGUACCUCAAAAGUAAGCCCCGGCUAACUACGUG